UUUGUCUGAAAGAGGAGUGAUGGAAGCCAUUAAUGUCAACCUGGAGAAACCAUCUUUCAAAAGUGGAGGUGGACUAAGACAUAACCUCUCAUCCACCCACAAUGUCGAUCAGAGUUCUCUCCCCAGAAAACUCUUUUCCAGAAUCCAUCAUUGCUUCAGGAGGGAGGAGAUGUUCCAUUGAGUUAGAAAAGCAGGAAUAAAUAGAACGUCAUUAUAACCUCAGCACAACGGCCUCUCUGCAGGAGGAGGAAGAAUGGAGCCGUUCACUCCAGGCACAGGACAGGGAGCAGUGCUGGCUUAGUGGUCCAGAAGGUUUCAGGUUCGAGUCCAGCAGCUGCCAAGUCACCGCUGAGGUAUGAGCAUGGCACCGUCCCCACACACUGCUCCCCCGAUGCUUAAAGCUGCACACUGUUCACUUUGGUGAUGGGUUAAAAGCAGAGGUCACAUUUGGUUGUGUACAGUGUCACAAUGACAAGGAGUUCACUUCCCUAACUGUUAAACAAAGGUGAAGUGAAUUCUUGAAGCACAGAUUAUAUUUUGACCGAAUGUGCACUUUUAAAAUUUCACUUUUACAAACAUAAAAAAUACACUUCCUAAGUCACAUACUCAUCCCUAAUCUGACACACACACACUUAAUAAAUAUAACUUAGACGUGCCUUAUGUUUGCAUUAUUUUAUUAGCAUUUGGGUUUUACCAUAAAAUUUUCAUAUAAAUUGCUUUUUUCUCUUUUUGAAAACAGAUGGCAACAUGAGAUGAAAAAAAAUAUAUUCCAUUUAUAAAUACUGCUAAAAUACCAGUUGGUGUAUUAUGGCAAAGUCUAAUUCACCUGCUGUCUAAAACAAAUCCAGGUAAUUGGAUGACUGUUUCGUUCGGUUUACUUCUUUAAAAAGUAGAGUUAUUUUUUUUU